rnacentral:rRNA from 1 species
UUGUACACACCGCCCGUCACACCAUGGGAGUGGGUUGCAAAAGAAGUAGGUAGCUUAACCUUCGGGAGGGCGCUUACCACUUUGUGAUUCAUGACUGGGUGAAGUCGUAACAAGGUAACCGUAGGGGAACCUGCGGUUGGAUCACCUCCUUACCUUAAAGA